rnacentral:rRNA from 1 species
CAGUCGCCACGGUAAUACGUAGGUCCCGAGCGUUGUCCGGAUUUAUUGGGCGUAAAGCGAGCGCAGGCGGUUUGAUAAGUCUGAAGUUAAAGGCUGUGGCUCAACCAUAGUUCGCUUUGGAAACUGUCAAACUUGAGUGCAGAAGGGGAGAGUGGAAUUCCAUGUGUAGCGGUGAAAUGCGUAGAUAUAUGGAGGAACACCGGUGGCGAAAGCGGCUCUCUGGUCUGUAACUGACGCUGAGGCUCGAAAGCGUGGGGAGCGAACAGGAUUAGAGACCCCUGUAGUCCCUGUCUCUUAUACA